rnacentral:rRNA from 1 species
ACAAUGGGCGCAAGCCUGAUGCAGCGACGCCGCGUGAGGGAUGGAGGCCUUCGGGUUGUAAACCUCUUUUAUCGGGGAGCAAGCGAGAGUGAGUUUACCCGUUGAAUAAGCACCGGCUAACUACGUGCCAGCAGCCGCGGUAAUACGUAGGGUGCAAGCGUUAUCCGGAAUUAUUGGGCGUAAAGGGCUCGUAGGCGGUUCGUCGCGUCCGGUGUGAAAGUCCAUCGCUUAACGGUGGAUCCGCGCCGGGUACGGGCGGGCUUGAGUGCGGUAGGGGAGACUGGAAUUCCCGGUGUAACGGUGGAAUGUGUAGAUAUCGGGAAGAACACCAAUGGCGAAGGCAGGUCUCUGGGCCGUCACUGACGCUGAGGAGCGAAAGCGUG